ACGGGGAAACUCACCAGGUCCAGACAUAACUAGGAUUGACAGAUUGAUAGCUCUUUCAUGAUUUUAUGGGUGGUGGUGCAUGGCCGUUCUUAGUUGGUGGAGUGAUUUGUCUGGUUAAUUCCGAUAACGAACGAGACCUUAACCUGCUAAAUAGCCAGGCCGGCUUUCGCUGGUCGCCGGCUUCUUAGAGGGACUGUCAGCGUCUAGCUGACGGAAGUUUGAG
rnacentral:rRNA from 1 species